UACGAAGGGGGCUAGCGUUGUUCGGAAUUACUGGGCGUAAAGCGCACGUAGGCGGCUUUGUAAGUUAGAGGUGAAAGCCCAGGGCUUAACCCUGGAAUUGCCUUUAAGACUGCAUCGCUAGAAUCGUGGAGAGGUGAGUGGAAUUCCGAGUGUAGAGGUGAAAUUCGUAGAUAUUCGGAAGAACACCAGUGGCGAAGGCGACUCACUGGACUGGUAUUGACGCUGAGGUGCGAAAGCGUGGGGAGCAAACAGG
rnacentral:rRNA from 1 species